ensembl:lncRNA
UUUUUUUUUUUUUUUUUUUUUUUNUUUGCAGCAUGCAGAAGUUCUGGGCCAGGUUUUGAACCUGAGCUGCAGCAGUGACAAUGCCAGAUACUUAACCCAGUAGCUCACCAGGGAACUCCUGGCACAGCCUUCUUAUAGCAGGUUAAAUCAGUUGCAACAGAAGCGCUUUUCUGAAGAUCCACGAAUCCUUCAACAUAGCUGUAUCAUCACCCAGCCUGGCUUACGUUUAGUUUCUGAGAUUCUUAAUGUGGGUGGCUCUUGCUGCUUCUUCCUACCCGCUUACUACCAGCUUGAUCUCUUGCAGCCUGGCUUUCUGACCCACACUUUAUUUACUGAAAGAGCUUCCAGUAUCUCCAAUUCUUCUUAAUUUCCCAGGUCAUAAGAGGUUCUCAUUCAACUUCUAAAACCUUUCUAAAGCAUUAAAAAAAAAAAAAAAAAAAAGACUGCCUUUGUAAAAUUUCCCCACAACCUUUCUUCUCCUGGUAUUCAAAUGUUAACAUCACCUUGAUUUAUUUCUGUCCUAUCCAUAGAUUUAUUUUUUAGGUCUAAUAUUAAGUAUGUAAUAUUUGUUUACUUCACUCCAUUUGCAAUAAGAUUUUACUAGAUGCUUAUUUAUAUUUUUGUCAAAGAAUGAGUUUUCAACUUAUCUCUAAUGAUUUUCCUCUCUAUUCUAAUUUAUAUUUUUCUUAUUAUUUCCUUUCUUGUAUUCUCAAAAGUUGAAUGCUUGGUUCAUUCAUUCAUUCACCAUUCAUUAAUUCAUGUUCUCUUCUUCCCAAUAAAGCAUUUAAAGCUACACAUUUGCAUCUGAUUAUAGCAACAGCAUCAAAGAUUUUCCCUCACAUUGAAACAGUCUGUUGAUUCUAUUGCUAUUCAGAUACAUUUAAAAUUUUAGACAGCUGGGUUUGUUUUAUUUAAGUAUAUUUCUCAUUUUGUUUUAUUAAAUAAAAAACAGAAAUAUCAGGAGAAAAGAAGUGGGGAAAUAUCCUGAUUUUUCAAAAGAAUUGAGGAAACCAAGCAAAUAAUCAUUUAUAUAAAUAUUUUUACUAAUUACUUGGUAAAGGUUGAAUUUAUUACAGGUAGCCAGUGUGGUUCACUAUAAACAAGUCACUCUAGGACAACUUUAUGUCUUAUCUGAAGCACUGAUAUCAGAUAUUAUCAAGGUGUCAGCGGAUACAGUAGAGGAUAAACCCGCUUAGUUACAGUUGGACAAUGGGACCUAACACGGACUGCUGAAUGCUCUAGCACCCACCUGGUGACGUGUGUCUCAGGUGUGGUUCACAGACCUGCUCGCCACUCCUUUUUUUCAAGGUCACAAUCUUCUGUCACUGGGUUAUAGGCAUGUGUCUAGUUUACAGUCCAAGUUUCCGUUAUGAUGGGAAAAGAAUGGCUAAAAAAGCAGGAGAGUAGGUUCUCCAAUAUUGUGAGUGCUGCUGUGAGGAAAGCAGUGCUUCUUUGUAUGGCUUUAAAAAAGCCAGAGGCACAGGAUGAGACUUAAUCACAGGAUCACAGAAUGCCUUCAGUCCCCCAUACCUUAUCACCACAUUACUAAAUGUGUAUUUGUUGUGUUCCUUUUUUUACUCAAUACAUCAUGUUCAACUAUCCAAAAAAAAAAAAAGCAAAAAACAGUACUAAAAAAGCAAAAAACAGUUUAAAGAGAGAGACAGAGAGUAAGAGACAGAGAGUAAGCAUCAGAACUAGACUCAGAUAUAGCAGAAUGUUGGAAUUAUCAGACUGGAAAUUUAAAACAACUGUGAUUAAAAUGCUAAGGACACUAAUUGAUAAAGUAGACAGCAUGCAAGAACAGACAGGAUAUAUAAGCAGAGAGGAGGAAAUUCUAAGGAAAAAAAAAGAAAUGAUAGAGAUCAAAAAUAGUGUAAAUUAAGGAAUGUCUUUGAUGGGUUUAUUAGUAGACUGGACAUAGCUAAGGAAAGAAUCUCUGAGGCUGAACAUAUUUCAAUAGAAACUCCCCAAACUGAAAGACAAAUAGAAAAAAAGACAGAAAAAGCAGAACAGAAUAUCCCGGAAGUGAGGGACAACUACACAAGGUGUAAUAUUCACAUUAUGGGAACACCAGAAGGAGAAAAGAGUGAGAAAGGAACAGAAGAAAUAUUCAAAACAACAAUGACUAAGAAUUUCCUCAAAUUACCGUCAGACAUCAAAUCAAAGAUCCAGGAAGCUCAGAGAAUACCACGCAAGAUAAAUGCCAAAACCCCCCACUAUAUUCAGUCAUAUAAUUUUUAAACUACAGAAGAUCACAGUUAAAAAAAAAAAAUCAUGAAAAAGCAGAGGAAAAAAACACAUUACC